ensembl:lncRNA
GAGGGUUCCUAAUAAUGCAAAUGCUGGCUGCGUGGCUGGCUUGUCUGCCUGUCCCCUCGAGCACCACAAUGUGGAGAUGGGACCAUGCGUCCAAGGGUCCCCUCACUGCAUUAGACAAAGACGAAAUGGAAAAGUGACUCAGAUCAGACUCCUUCAGUGGUCGGCUCUGAAGGAAAAUUCUGGUUGCCCUCAGCUCUUACGAGUCACCACAUUAAUAAGAGGGAAGGUGACCUUGACUGCUCAGGUCUCCAGUCUGGCGGGACACCAAGCAGUUGGUGCCUUGGCGUGUGUCCCCAUCAGGCAUCCUUCACCCCGAGCCCCACCAGGUCUCCAUGUCAACCUAAAUUCCCACACACCGGAAGUGGCCUGGAGGAAGAUUCCGAGCUGUUCUGGGUGUGUGCACUGUCACAUAUAUUAAUAGAGUUGCUGUGAAACUGUUUGGGCUGAAAAAAGCACAACAAAGUGACUCAGUUGCAAAAUUCUUGCGUCAGCUAUUGCUGAGUUGGUCUCAGUCAGCAACAGAAGAGACUGGAAAUGUCUCGAAUUGAUUGUAGGCCCAAGUCAGCUUUUAGACACUGGCACAUUGGUCAGGCCCAGAGGUCACUGGGAGUGGAAUCCCAGCACAGGCUGCAGUGAGGACGCUGGACAGAAGAAACAUGGAAGGGACGAGUGCACAGCGUUAUCAGCCAGCAGAGGGCCCAGAGGUCACGACAGGAGAUGAAUUCCUGCUAACAAGCUCAAUGAGCCUUUUUGGGGGUCUCUCGACCCUGCCUCCCUUUGCCAAGACUUUCUCCAUCUGAACACAGACUUCCGACGGGCUUUUCAAGAGCAGGUGGGAUUCUCUCUAGGGUGCCCCCACCCUGCAGUGUGGUCAGCUAUUGUUGGAAGACUUCUGGAGGCUUCUGAGCCCGGCUGAAUGUUCCACUGAAUGUCUCUGCGUGGCACAGUUCUUUCCCAUGCUGACGAAAAACUGUCUACUGGAAUGAAUUUGACUCUUAGGAUGACCAAGAAUGCUCAAACUUCUCUUUUUAAAGAAAAUUGUCCUAAUAUGUGAGGUAACGCCUACAGCCAGAGCCCUUAGACUUGAAUCUUAGCACAUGGCUUUCUCAGCCCAACAGUUCCAGUUUGCAGAGGCAGCACCAGGGCCAUGAGAAUGGGCUUUGGCAUCAGAGGGUCUUGACUUGAACCCUGAAUUCACCCAGCUGUGCCACCUUGGGCCAAUCACUACCGUCUCCAAGGUUGAAAGGUUCCCCCCUUUAACAUUAGAACAAGUGCUUCUAUUUCAUAGGGUUGUUUUAGAGGUUAAAUAGAUAAUGGAUAACAUGGUUAGGACAGCACCCAGCCCCUGUGAACACCCCGUGUGUGUUUGCCCAGAAGGACGUUGUUGAGUUUGGACACUGCUCUUCGAGGGCAUCAGUGUGAAAGAAAUGUCGUGUCCCUGAUCUGGAGGCCGGGAUGUUCCUCUUACACUGAGCCUGUUCUUCAAGAAAUGGUACCUUAGGCUGGACGGGACCUUCUGGGAGAAGCAUUUGGACUGUUGAGAGUCAUGAGUGCACAUGAGAACACUGACACCGUGGGGAAGGAUGGGCUUGCCCAGAGGAGUGUCCAGCAAAACCACCAAAUUUAGCAGGAAGAUGAGACAUCGAAGGCCCUUAGGGGGCCUUGGUGAGAGAGAGAGGAAGGGAGGAGACCACCAAGUUCCAGUCAACAUGGGAGAGUCAAGAGUAAAAGAAAAUCUCUAGACCAAGGUGGAAUGGACACACAGACAGGUGAGGGGAGGCCAGGGCAGUGACCCACAGGCCCCAGGAAGGAAGUCUACAGGGGUAUUAGUUCACCGCUGAGGGGGGCAGAAUCCAAGGACCCCACGUGAGGCUGGAGGUCAGAGUGAGGUACUCUCCAUGGGAUCAAGGGCUGCGCUUAUAUCUCCUCCCCCAGGAAAGAAAGCUCCGGUGCUCUGUCUCCUGGCAUGGCAGCCAGAAAGCAGUUAUCUGCCCCUAAUGAACGGAGAAAGCAGACAGACACUGAUGUCACCAGAAUCUGGACAUUCCUGCUGCUUACCACUUCCAGGUUCUUGAGGUACCAUGUGCUCUUGGGGUAAGAACUCAGAACUUCCUCUGAGCUGCUGUCUCUGGACGAUCUGCCUGAGAGUAUCAUGAAAUUGAAAACCAGAGAAAGGUGAUUGCUUUCUCUGGACAAAAGAAAGGAAAUGUAACCCAAUGCCAAGAGAGCAGACCAACUUUGCAAACAAAGCACACACAGAAAUCAGGGGCCUCAGAAGGAAGCCAGAAAGUUAACAAAUUGGAGAAUCCAAAUCUGACGAGAGCAGAAAAAUAGAGAAAAUUGAAAAAUGGUAGUUAGGAAUCAAAAUCAUUAUGGAUAAAGGGCCAAGCUCAAAUUUGGAAAAGAAAAUUAUAGUUAUUGAAAUAAAAGCCUGAUAAAAUGAGAUAAAUAGUAAGCUGGAAAAAAUUUGAUGAAGGAACUGGAGAUUUGUAAGAUAGAAUAGAGAAAAUAAAUUGGAAUGUAGCGUAGAGAGACAAAGAGAUAGAGAUAUGAAAGAGAAGACAUUGAAAAGCUCCACAUAUAUUAAACAGAAUGAGGAAGAGACAAAGUUAUAUAAGUCCAUGGCGAAUUAUUUCUGGAAGACAAGGAAAUUAUGAGCCCCACAGCCUGAAAGAACGCAUUGAGAACGAAAUAGGAUAAAUGUACAAAAUUCCACAUUUAGAUGCACCCUAAUGAAACCAGAGAUCAGAGAUGAUAAAGUUUUUCAAACUACCAGAAAGAAAAGACAUUUUGUACUAAGGAAUGGCCAUCAGAUACACAGCCGAUUCCUCAACAGCAAAAGAGAUGCCAGAAGACAAUGGAGAAAAUGUUGACGGAAAAUUCCAUGCUCAGCUGAAAUGCCUUUUAAGAGUUACGGCUAUGUAUAAAUAUUUCUAGACAUCUAAAUGCUACAAGUCUGAUUAUCUGGCCAAGAUGCCGGAAUGAGCAGAUAUCAAACAAUAGGAGCAUGAAAAAUGAGAGGGGAGAAUUUGAAGGGAAGUUAAAAAGUUCUUGAUGUUGAUCUGGAAGGUGAAUUCAACAUUAUCCACAUUUAUGUGAAUAAUGAUUUAUGUGUAGGUGUUACGGUUCACAAUAAAAAUGUUUACUUUUUUUAAAGCUAGUUUCCUUGUCUUGUUCGGGAGAGUUUGAUUGAAUUUAGAUUUGACUUUGGGGAAAUAUACAACACUAGAACAUAUAUUUCUCAAUGUGACUUUUCUAAUGGUGGGAACCUCUCAGUGGCAAAACAUAGCUGUUUCUCUUUGUGUUUGUUGUCUUUCCUUCUUGAAAUGCUGUGAAUUGAAUGUGGCUUUUUUUUUCCUUUUGGCAAUGCCAAGAUCUAGCCUAUAAUCACUUUCAUUUUGCACACGGCAAUAAACAUUCAAUUAAAGUGCCCAGCUCACAGGAUCAGAAUCCACUAGCUAACUCACCAAGCUGACAUAAUUACUACCCUGAAACGCUGGCUUAGAGGAAUAGCAAAUUACAGUUGUUAAGUUAUCCACAGGAGGGCUCUCCUGAUGUUCCAAACACAAAAAGAGAAGCUUGGUUAGAAGUAUAAGGAAAUAAUUUGGGGAAAAACGGACUGAGCCUUCCCAGUUUAAACAGCAUUUCAAUAAAUUAUAAGAUUCAGAUGAGUGCCACAUCUGAUACAAAUUAAACUUCAGCCUCGCGAUGAUGUACACAUUUAUAACAAUCCAGAAAGACAUAUUGGUGCAGAACAAGUGUCUUGAUAAGCCAGUAGUCUGGAAGCAAAUGGAAUAAUUUCAAUACAAAGCCCGGGGACCAACAAGCUGGUUUUCUGAAUAUUUUAUUGUCCAGUCCUGCUUUUACUUAAACAGUCUGAUAACUAAAGAAGAGGCAGCUGGGAAGGUAAAAACUGGAAGAGCCAUUAUUUCUCUUCCUCUCUCUCUUUCUUCCUCAUUUGCUCAUUUGCUAACAG